AGCGUUGCUCGGAAUCACUGGGCGUAAAGGGUGCGUAGGCGGGUUUUUAAGUCAGGGGUGAAAUCCUGGAGCUCAACUCCAGAACUGCCUUUGAUACUGAAGAUCUUGAGUUCGGGAGAGGUGAGUGGAACUGCGAGUGUAGAGGUGAAAUUCGUAGAUAUUCGCAAGAACACCAGUGGCGAAGGCGGCUCACUGGCCCGAUACUGACGCUGAGGCACGAAAGCGUGGGGAGCAAACAGG
rnacentral:rRNA from 1 species